rnacentral:piRNA from 1 species
UUCAUAGUUGAGGGCUUUCCACAGAAGC